CUGUGCUGAGGUAGUAAGUUGUGUUGUUGUGGGGGUGGGAUACUACAGCCCCUCAACUGGAGAUACAACGAUACAACUUACUGCCUUCCACAA
rfam:Tetraodon nigroviridis chromosome 9 SCAF14729, whole genome shotgun sequence.